CAGACAGUUAAUCAUUAAUGAUCCUUCCGUAGGUGAACCUGCGGAAGGAUCAUUA
rnacentral:rRNA from 1 species